AGAGUCUGACAUUCAGCAAGGAACACACAGAGAGACUCCUGAUAGUGUGCAAGUCCCUGGAUCCAGCUGUUCCUGAUAUCAACACAUUCUAUAGCACUGAGUUAUGAAGGAGUGUAAGAUCUAAGGCAAAGCAAGACAGGAACUUUUGGGACUGGAAGAAGAUGAUAGAAACAUUUCUACAUGAACAAGUUUCGUGGAUGAAGCUGUCUGCCUGUCUCUCCAUUAGGCUAGAAGCUUUCCUCCUUUUCUGCCUGGAAAUCACACAUUGAAAGACAUAGCUCUGAAUAAUUCAAAUAUGAUAAUGUUUUCCUAUUUGCCAAUCAGUUGACUUGUUUAAUAGUAUUUUAAAAAAUAUACCUAUUUAGUGAGCCACACAUAUUUUCAAUAUUGAACAUUUUUGUAAUAUCUGACAAAAAUGGAAAUUGAAGGCAUUUGUACAUUUAAACUAUUGACAGCAAAUUUUUAUAAAAAUGUAACAUUUGUUUGGGUGGGUAGAAAUAGAUAAAUGCAAGAGAAAAUGAUGUGAACCAUAAACUCACUGACAAAUCAUGAAAUAUAAUUGUUUCAUGUCAGUGCACAUUACCUAGAAUAUGAUUUUUGAUUUCUUAAAGCAUAAUA